GAAACCAUACAGAGUUUAUUAUUCCUUAGGCGUUAUUGUUGUGUUAAUUAACAAGUUGAAACAGGUGUGCUAGCUCUGGAACCACUGGGAGUCUCUGGAGAGAAUUGAGAACCACUCAUUUAGUCAACUGUUCUCAUUUUGACACGAGGACAUACCGUACGUGAAUCUUUCACAAGACACCAUCACUGGUCAACAGAUUCCAUGAACUGGAAUGACACUCACUAAUGGUUGCAGAAAAAGAGCUGUGAGCAAACCACGCCCCAAAAUAUUCUAAUUAGCCACCGCCCCUACAUUUUAAUUACCAUUAAAAGAAGAUAGAACCCUAUUCUGAACUCCAAAGAACCAUUGAAGGGCUCAAAAGGUUAUUUUAGUCAGUAUGGUUCCACAUAGAACCAUCACCCUUCCCAAAGAACCACUGGACCUGGUGUAUGUGGGGUUCAGGUAGUCUGACAGUGUAUGUGGGGUUCAGGUAGUCUGACUGUGUAUGAGGGGUUCAGGUAGUCUGACUGUGUAUGAGGGGUUCAGGUACUCUGACUGUGUAUGAGGGGUUCAGGUAGUCUGACUGUGUAUGAGGGGUUCAGGUACUCUGACUGUGUAUGAGGGGUUCAAGUACUCUGACUGUGUAUGUGAGGUCCAGGUAGUCUGACUAUGCAUGUGGGGUUCAGGUAGUCUGACUGUGUAUGUGAGGUCCAGGUAGUCUGACUGUGUGUGCGCCCCAGAGGUGAGGUCUGGCUGGCCGGCGCCUGUUCAGUACUGGUCAGUAGGCUACAUGUAAUAAGCUAAGCUCUUGAGCGGUUUUACUCCAGACAGAAUACAUAGACACCCAGAUCCCUUCACCUUGACAGACAACAGCUUAUGGUGACACCAGGGAAAGUUAUACUCUACAGAACACAUCAUCCCAGCUCUUCUUAAACUCUUCAAAUAAAAAAAACUAUUUGCACUGAGCAGGUCAACAUUGUGGAAUUAUUCUCUUAAAACUUGAUUUAGCUACUCUUUCACUCUACAUUUGAGGCAGUUGUGGGCCUCUUUCUAACAACCUGCUACCCUCCCCUUCCCCUGUAG
rnacentral:lncRNA from 1 species